rnacentral:rRNA from 1 species
UACGGGGGGAGCAAGCGUUGUUCGGAUUUACUGGGCGUAAAGGGCGCGUAGGCGGCCACCGCAAGUCGACUGUGAAAUCUCCGGGCUUAACCCGGAAAGGUCAGCCGAUACUGCGGGGCUAGAGUGCAGAAGGGGCAACUGGAAUUCUCGGUGUAGCGGUGAAAUGCGUAGAUAUCGAGAGGAACACCUGCGGCGAAGGCGGGUUGCUGGGCUGACACUGACGCUGAUGCGCGAAAGCCAGGGGAGCGAACGGG